AGGAGUUGGAAGGAAAUUGUGGGUCAUCUAGUCCAACUCCCUGCUAAAACAGGCUUUCUACCAUAGGUUGCACAGGAAAGCAUCCAGGUGGGUCUUGGAUAUCUCCAGAGAAUACUCCACAACCUCUCUGGGUAGCCUGUACCAGUGCUCUGUCACCCUCACAAGGAUUUCUGGCUGCUGUAAAGCACAUCGGGUCUAGGAAGAAUUUUGAAUCUGGGUGUGGAGGAUCUUCACGCUUGCAAAGGAGUUGUGUACCUAAUUUGGUUAAACAAAUCUUGAACAAGAGAUCUAAAGAAUAUUGUUGCCUUAUCUGUUACUGAGAUGAGGAUAAAUUAUCUGUAAACCUUUCCAGAUA
ensembl:lncRNA